rnacentral:rRNA from 1 species
AGAGUUUGAUCAUGGCUCAGGAUGAACGCUAGCGGCAGGCUUAACACAUGCAAGUCGAGGGGUAGAAAGUAGCUUGCUACUUUUGAGACCGGCAAACGGGUGCGGAACACGUACGCAACCUACCCUUAUCUUGGGGAUAGCCCAUAGAAAUGUGGAUUAAUACCCAAUAGUAUUGUUUGAUGGCAUCAUUAAAUAAUUAAAGAACUUCGGAUAGGGAUGGGCGUGCGUAAGAUUAGGUAGUUGGUAGGGUAACGGCCUACCAAGCCUACGAUCUUUAGCUGAUGUGAGAGCAUGAUCAGCCACACGGGCACUGAGACACGGGCCCGACUCCUACGGGAGGCAGCAGUGAGGAAUAUUGGUCAAUGGACGGAAGUCUGAACCAGCCAUGCCGCGUGAAGGAUGAAGGCGUUCUGCGUUGUAAACUUCUUUUAUCAGGGAAGAAACCACCGAUUUCCAUUGGUGUUGACGGUACCUGAGGAAUAAGCACCGGCUAACUCCGUGCCAGCAGCCGCGGUAAUACGGAGGGUGCAAGCGUUAUCCGGAUUUACUGGGUUUAAAGGGUGUGUAGGCGGGCUAUUAAGUCUGGGGUGAAAUCUCUGAGCUCAACUCAGAAACUGCCUUGGAUACUAUUAGCCUUGAAUUAUGUUGAGGUUGGCGGAAUAUAACAUGUAGCGGUGAAAUGCAUAGAUAUGUUAUAGAACACCGAUUGCGAAGGCAGCUAACUAAGCAUAUAUUGACGCUGAGGCACGAAAGCGUGGGGAUCAAACAGGAUUAGAUACCCUAGUAGUCC